GCCAUUAUGGUUACGUACGAUUUUGCGACGCUACUAACAGCAAGGUCACUCAUGGACAAAUUGCUCGUCAGGAAGUCCAAGGGGUUGCAGCAAAUUCAUACCAAAGCUUUUUUUAUAUUCUUUGCAGAGAGCUAUCAUCUCUGUCAUAGGCGGCGUUGCUAUGUUAUUAUGUGCACCGAGCGGCACUGAACCUCCCACGCCAGUGUCAGAUCCCUUUGUGAUUUUGGGGAAUUUUUGUAGGCUUCAGAUUCCUACCUUGCGGCAGUUCUAAGCUGCUGAACCCAUUGGGGUAUGGCUAGGUAACAAGGCUCGGGAACGCUGCUGCAGCGGUCGUAACUUCAGAUAACUUCUUAGGUCCGUUUUGCAGGAAUACCUUCAUCAAACUGGUUUGAUAUUAAGAAGAAGUUAACUCCCCCUAUACUAUAAGUCACUUGCAAAGACGUCUUUCGAUGCACUACAUUUUAAGGUGGGAGUAUUUUCCUUCCUUUUGCGUCUCCUUGCAUCCCUGGCCGCCUGAGUAUACAGGCGCAUCACAAUAGGACAAUCCGACCAUCGCUAUGUCCAUGGAAAAACAAAGCAUCUACAAGAUAGCGCCUCGUUCAUGGUCAAAAUGGAAAGGCAAUAUGGUAGCGUUUCAUUGUAAAAGUUUCAACGAUGCACACGGAUUGGCCCGAGUUGAUCUUGACGUCUAUUUUCUGCAUACGCGGCGAUUGCAGCGCAAGCCCAGAGUCGACUAUUUGCAUCUUCCUGCUUUUUUUGUCGUAGUUGGGAUCCUAAUCGAGCCUGUACAGCCAUAUAUUCCGCAAAGUAUAGCCGCUCAUGGCAGCCCACGUGCGAAUCGAAGCUACUCGACUGGGAGCAUCUGGGCUCUACCAAUGCUACACAGAAAAGGGUCCUAAAACGGCGCACAGGAGAAAACGGCGCGUUGCAUCGGCUGCGGCACAUCUACACGAUGGCGACCUCGUUCUUAAGGGACUCAGCAUGCGCACCGUUGUGACUGAGGCGCCCACCCUGGCAUUGGCCAGGUACCUCUCGGAAAUCUGGGAGGCCAGGCGCGUCGCGCUGAGGCGCUUCGCUUCGCCCUGAAGCGGACGAGAGAGGAGGAGGAUGGCCCCCCGCGUACCCGCAUCAAUACCAAUAUAACGUCCAUGGGCCCCCCGGCUUUUAAGGACAACCCCGCACAUGCGUGCGGAACUUGUAACUUGUAACUCUACAGCCCAAUUCACAAUGGUUCUUGCCAAUAGCUCGUCGUAGCAUAUGCAAUUCGCUGCGUUAUAUUACAUGAGCUGGCCGGGCUUGCUCUAUCCUGUCCUGACCUAACGGCAAGACCGCCGAAGCACCUUCCAACACACGGGAGAGGGACUAACCACACGCGCGGGACUAAUGGGGCGCCGCAGCGUCGGGGAUUGGAAACCCGUCUGAAACACUCCAAGGUAAAAAGGCAAAGCACCCAUCCGGUCUGCCUCUCCAAAAGCGCCGCGCAAGGGGCACACAUAAGCCAGGGUAUCCCCGCUUCCCAUGCACACGCUAAAGCAGUCACCAAGCGGUCCACCUGGGCGACUGGCAGGGUUCGUAUGCUAGGAAGCGCCACACACCACGCAUCACCGUCCCCGUCCCUGCUCAUCUCGAUAAGUUUCCAGGGGAAUCACGCAGGGCCUCACCGCUUUG
rnacentral:lncRNA from 1 species